GCCGAUUUAGUUUAGUGGUAAAACAAGUGCAUGGUAAGCACUAGAGGACAGUUCAAUUCUGUCAUUCGGCA
rnacentral:tRNA from 1 species